rnacentral:rRNA from 1 species
AGGAUAAACGCUGGCGGCGUGCAUGAGACAUGUAAGUCGAACGGAUGACUCGGGCUUGCUCGAGUCGUUAGUGGCGGACGGCUGAGUAACGCGUGGGUGACCUGCCCCGAAGUGGGGAAUAACUGCCCGAAAGGUGGCUAAUACCGCAUAUGUUCACUGGUUCGUUCCUUUGAACAAAGCCGUAAGGCGCUUCGGGAGGGGCCUGCGUACGAUUAGCUCGUUGGUGGGGUAACGGCUCACCAAGGCGACGAUCGUUAGGUGGUCUGAGAGGACGAUCACCAGACUGGGACUGAGACACGGCCCAGACUCCUACGGGAGGCGAGCAGGUCGGGAAUUUGCUCAAUGGGCGAAAGCCUAGAAGCAGCAACGCCGCGUGAGGAUGGAAGCCUUCGGGUUGUAAACCUCUUUUCUGACGGACGAGUAAUAGACGGUUACCCGCUAGAAACUAGACCCCGGUACUAACGUUCGUACGUCAG